UACGAAGGGGGCUAGCGUUGCUCGGAAUCACUGGGCGUAAACGGUGCGUAGGCGGGUUAUUAAGUCAGAGGUGAAAUCCUGGAGCUCAACUCCAGAACUGCCUUUGAUACUGAUAGUCUUGAGUAUGGGAGAGGUGAGUGGAACUGCGAGUGUAGAGGUGAAAUUCGUAGAUAUUCGCAAGAACACCAGUGGCGAAGGCGGCUCACUGGCCCAUUACUGACGCUGAGACGCGAAAGCGUGGGGAGCGAACAGG
rnacentral:rRNA from 1 species